CAUGCAAGUCGAACGGAACUGUUUUGAAAGAUUUCUUCGGAAUGAAUUUGAUUUAGUUUAGUGGCGGACGGGUGAGUAACGCGUGAGUAACCUGCCUUCAAGAGGGGGAUAACAUUCUGAAAAGAAUGCUAAUACCGCAUGACAUAUCGGAACCACAUGGUUUUGAUAUCAAAGAUUUUAUCGCUUGAAGAUGGACUCGCGUCCGAUUAGUUAGUUGGUGAGGUAACGGCUCACCAAGACCGCGAUCGGUAGCCGGACUGAGAGGUUGAACGGCCACAUUGGGACUGAGACACGGCCCAGACUCCUACGGGAGGCAGCAGUGGGGGAUAUUGCGCAAUGGGGGCAACCCUGACGCAGCAACGCCGCGUGAAGGAUGAAGGUUUUCGGAUUGUAAACUUCUUUUAUUAAGGACGAAAAAUGACGGUACUUAAUGAAUAAGCUCCGGCUAACUACGUGCCAGCAGCCGCGGUAAUACGUAGGGAGCAAGCGUUGUCCGGAUUUACUGGGUGUAAAGGGUGCGUAGGCGGCUUUGCAAGUCAGAUGUGAAAUCUAUGGGCUCAACCCAUAAGCUGCAUUUGAAACUGUAGAGCUUGAGUGAAGUAGAGGCAGGCGGAAUUCCCCGUGUAGCGGUGAAAUGCGUAGAGAUGGGGAGGAACACCAGUGGCGAAGGCGGCCUGCUGGGCUUUAACUGACGCUGAGGCACGAAAGCGUGGGUAGCAAACAGGAUUAGAUACCCUGGUAGUCCACGCUGUAAACGAUGAUUACUAGGUGUGGGGGGUCUGACCCCUUCCGUGCCGGAGUUAACACAAUAAGUAAUCCACCUGGGGAGUACGGCCGCAAGG
rnacentral:rRNA from 1 species